UUUACAAGUUAAAUAAAACUUGAUCAGUGCUCUCAUUCCCUCACACUCAGCACAAAGCCUUUUUUGUAAGGCUUUUUAUUGUAACUUUUUUCCAAACCUUGAAAAAAUAAAAUUCCAGGCUUUGACCAAAGAAUUCAUAAGGCAAAUAGGCAGUUAAAAGGAGUAGAGUUUUUACCUUAUCUAAAAGCCUGUAGGCUUUAAAAAUUCAUUAGAAAUGCUUGAGCAUUCAAAUUUACACUUAGUUUUUUUAAUUCAUGACAAGUAAAGGUCUAUCAAAUAUUGACUUUGUCCAGUUCUACCUUAACACAGCGGAAAGAACAGAGAUAUUGAGCCCCACCUGUAAAAGACAAGGCACAUUCAAGACCGAGCCCACUCCACUACCACACAAACUACUUACUGCUCCCUGAAGGCCAAGAGCCUGGCGCCCUCAAAAGACAAUCAAGAUAACUGUGCCAACUCUCUACAGCCCAGAGAGGAACUGUAUGGUCUUUGCCAAAAGUAUUUAGAUCAAUGUACUACCACACCACCCGGAGGCUGUGCUACCUUGUCCUUAGUAUUGCUACACCCCUGGGCAGGGCAGCUACAACCGUGACACGGACAUCCAACACCACAAGCACUGAGACUGUGUGAUAAGUGCAUAAGCAAAAAUGACUUCCAUAGGGAACAUGGCACCCAUCAGCAGAGAGGUCCAACAGUGCCAUGACAGUGCAGGUGCUCUACAGCAGCCCUGCAAAGUGGUGACUGCUGCAGCCAUCAGAGGAGACGUGGAUGAGAGCCAUCAAAAGAAUGAUGGAUGAGCAAGAAGCCAAGCUUUAAGACAAAAGACUGUUAUUUACCUGGGGAUGCAAUCCCCAGAGACAACUCUGUCAAAAGAGAACUCACAGAAGUGGAACUGAAGGCACCACCUGGCUCACCAAUGUGAGAGAUCACCGCUCAGAAACAAUUACAAUAUGACAGACACCAGACAGAUCCACACCUUAAGCUAGAAUUGGAAGACAAGAAAGGCUUGACAAAGUGCUAUGCUGAUGUGGCAAUGUACCUGCGACUCACGGGAGGGCUACCAAGGUGCCUGGUGAUCACUUAGAACUAUGGAGACACCAGGACCCGAGGAAGGUAGAGUGUACAAUGCAGAAGACAGACUUAACAGAGUUUACACAACACAGACACAUGCUGGAACUGCCUUCCUAGGCACAGUCCUCACAUUGUGCUGAGAACUAAUGUGCUCCCUUGACCUGCUCCUGAAUGGCUCUCUCCCGUACACUGACUUUAAACUCCUCCUUGUAAUUCCCAACCUUGCCUCCUAUCCUCUCAGCAUCCUUCCUUCCCCUUCACUUCAGAGGAAUGGGGUUCUGAAGCCAUCUUCCUUGCUAUUUGCCAGCAAGCCCAGGCAGGCGAGCCUCAGUAUUACUGCCCUGCUCUAGGGCACGCCCGCUGCUGGAUGCAUGUCCCAUGCACCUGGGGCCGAGUGCACGCACGCACUGCCCGUGGUUGCAACAGCACCGUGGCCCUCAUGACCAGGCAAAGGCCUCCUCGUAACCUCUGCACUGAGACCCCUUGGUGCGAUCUGAGCUCCCCUGCCGUGCCACCUUCAGUGAUCAGGAGUCAUCCACACCUACCGAAGCGUCCCACUUGCCUCACCCAUGUCCUCUGGCCCUUGGCAUCUGCUCAAAGGGGAGAUGCACCCCGCGCCAUCAUGAUGCCCCUGUGACCGAGAAACGGGUGCAACAGCACCAGAUCCUGAGCAUGGUGCGUCCGCCACCCAUGCCAGGACAGCAGUGAAGAGCGGCAGGCAGGAAAGGAAAUGGCGCCCUGAUGGGGCAGUAGCACACCGGGACGCCCCGGCAGCACCAAACUGAGCAGGAUGACCUGCAGCCGGUGGGGAGCUCUGGCCGCCAGCCGUGCGGCAGGGCUGCAGGGCACCACGGGAAGUGUUCGUGCAGGUGGAGAGCUUCAUUCUGGACAAGCCAUCAUUGAAGUGCUGUCGGAGUAAGUUUUAUAUUAAACCACAGAAAUAAAAGCUUUUGAUACAAAUAAGUAACAAAAUUAAUGUAGCAGACAAUUAUUUAUCUACAAUAGUCAACAAUACAAAGAAUUAGAUAUAAAAGGUUUUUUGGUCAAAAGCUUAUUAUACAUUUGGAACAUCUGUCCCCCUAUCUCAAGACUGAUCAAAUACAAAGAAAUUAGGCAUAAAGCUUUCUGGCUCUCAAGAGAUGCCAUGAUCCUAAGACUGAAAAAAAAAACCCCUCAAAACCAAAA